rnacentral:lncRNA from 1 species
GUGAUAGACCUUCAGUUACAGAGAGAGGGAGCAGAGUGGGACCAGGUCUGAGAAUAGUGAAGCAACUCAUUCCUUUCAGGACAUUCCCUCUGAUGUCCUAUUUUCAAACUGUUUGAAGACUGCUUCAUUCUGCCUCUAGUACCAGCGGUUUCUCUGUUCUGUGAUCAAUGUGAUUCACAGGAACUCCUUAAGUAACAAACGAAAUGAGCCAGGGGCGUGGAAAAUAUGACUUCUAUAUUGGUCUGGGAUUGGCUAUGAGCUCCAGCAUUUUCAUUGGAGGAAGUUUCAUUUUGAAAAAAAAAGGCCUCCUUCGACUUGCCAGGAAAGGCUCUAUGAGAGCAGGUCAAGGUGGCCAUGCAUAUCUUAAGGAAUGGUUGUGGUGGGCUGGACUGCUGUCAAUGAAUUAGUGCAGUUCAAAAC